GGUUAAGCGACUAAGCGUACACGGUGGAUGCCCUGGCAGUCAGAGGCGAUGAAGGACGUGCUAAUCUGCGAUAAGCGUCGGUAAGGUGAUAUGAACCGUUAUAACCGGCGAUUUCCGAAUGGGGAAACCCAGUGUGUUUCGACACACUAUCAUUAACUGAAUCCAUAGGUUAAUGAGGCGAACCGGGGGAACUGAAACAUCUAAGUACCCCGAGGAAAAGAAAUCAACCGAGAUUCCCCCAGUAGCGGCGAGCGAACGGGGAGGAGCCCAGAGCCUGAAUCAGUGUGUGUGUUAGUGGAAGCGUCUGGAAAGGCGCGCGAUACAGGGUGACAGCCCCGUACACAAAAAUGCACAUGCUGUGAGCUCGAUGAGUAGGGCGGGACACGUGGUAUCCUGUCUGAAUAUGGGGGGACCAUCCUCCAAGGCUAAAUACUCCUGACUGACCGAUAGUGAACCAGUACCGUGAGGGAAAGGCGAAAAGAACCCCGGCGAGGGGAGUGAAAAAGAACCUGAAACCGUGUACGUACAAGCAGUGGGAGCACGCUUAGGCGUGUGACUGCGUACCUUUUGUAUAAUGGGUCAGCGACUUAUAUUCUGUAGCAAGGUUAACCGAAUAGGGGAGCCGAAGGGAAACCGAGUCUUAACUGGGCGUUAAGUUGCAGGGUAUAGACCCGAAACCCGGUGAUCUAGCCAUGGGCAGGUUGAAGGUUGGGUAACACUAACUGGAGGACCGAACCGACUAAUGUUGAAAAAUUAGCGGAUGACUUGUGGCUGGGGGUGAAAGGCCAAUCAAACCGGGAGAUAGCUGGUUCUCCCCGAAAGCUAUUUAGGUAGCGCCUCGUGAAUUCAUCUCCGGGGGUAGAGCACUGUUUCGGCAAGGGGGUCAUCCCGACUUACCAACCCGAUGCAAACUGCGAAUACCGGAGAAUGUUAUCACGGGAGACACACGGCGGGUGCUAACGUCCGUCGUGAAGAGGGAAACAACCCAGACCGCCAGCUAAGGUCCCAAAGUCAUGGUUAAGUGGGAAACGAUGUGGGAAGGCCCAGACAGCCAGGAUGUUGGCUUAGAAGCAGCCAUCAUUUAAAGAAAGCGUAAUAGCUCACUGGUCGAGUCGGCCUGCGCGGAAGAUGUAACGGGGCUAAACCAUGCACCGAAGCUGCGGCAGCGACGCUGAUGCGUUGUUGGGUAGGGGAGCGUUCUGUAAGCCUGUGAAGGUGUGCUGUGAGGCAUGCUGGAGGUAUCAGAAGUGCGAAUGCUGACAUAAGUAACGAUAAAGCGGGUGAAAAGCCCGCUCGCCGGAAGACCAAGGGUUCCUGUCCAACGUUAAUCGGGGCAGGGUGAGUCGACCCCUAAGGCGAGGCCGAAAGGCGUAGUCGAUGGGAAACAGGUUAAUAUUCCUGUACUUGGUGUUACUGCGAAGGGGGGACGGAGAAGGCUAUGUUGGCCGGGCGACGGUUGUCCCGGUUUAAGCGUGUAGGCUGGUUUUCCAGGCAAAUCCGGAAAACUAAGGCUGAGGCGUGAUGACGAGGCACUACGGUGCUGAAGCAACAAAUGCCCUGCUUCCAGGAAAAGCCUCUAAGCAUCAGGUAACAUCAAAUCGUACCCCAAACCGACACAGGUGGUCAGGUAGAGAAUACCAAGGCGCUUGAGAGAACUCGGGUGAAGGAACUAGGCAAAAUGGUGCCGUAACUUCGGGAGAAGGCACGCUGAUAUGUAGGUGAAGUCCCUCGCGGAUGGAGCUGAAAUCAGUCGAAGAUACCAGCUGGCUGCAACUGUUUAUUAAAAACACAGCACUGUGCAAACACGAAAGUGGACGUAUACGGUGUGACGCCUGCCCGGUGCCGGAAGGUUAAUUGAUGGGGUCAGCGCAAGCGAAGCUCUUGAUCGAAGCCCCGGUAAACGGCGGCCGUAACUAUAACGGUCCUAAGGUAGCGAAAUUCCUUGUCGGGUAAGUUCCGACCUGCACGAAUGGCGUAAUGAUGGCCAGGCUGUCUCCACCCGAGACUCAGUGAAAUUGAACUCGCUGUGAAGAUGCAGUGUACCCGCGGCAAGACGGAAAGACCCCGUGAACCUUUCAUAGCUUGACACUGAACAUUGAGCCUUGAUGUGUAGGAUAGGUGGAGGCUUUGAAGUGUGACGCAGUCUGCAUGGAGCCGACCUUGAAAUACCACCCUUUAAUGUUUGAUGUUCUAACGUUGACCCGUAAUCCGGGUUGCGGACAGUGUCUGGUGGGUAGUUUGACUGGGGCGGUCUCCUCCUAAAGAGUAACGGAGGAGCACGAAGGUUGGCUAAUCCUGGUCGGACAUCAGGAGGUUAGUGCAAUGGCAUAAGCCAGCUUGACUGCGAGCGUGACGGCGCGAGCAGGUGCGAAAGCAGGUCAUAGUGAUCCGGUGGUUCUGAAUGGAAGGGCCAUCGCUCAACGGAUAAAAGGUACUCCGGGGAUAACAGGCUGAUACCGCCCAAGAGUUCAUAUCGACGGCGGUGUUUGGCACCUCGAUGUCGGCUCAUCACAUCCUGGGGCUGAAGUAGGUCCCAAGGGUAUGGCUGUUCGCCAUUUAAAGUGGUACGCGAGCUGGGUUUAGAACGUCGUGAGACAGUUCGGUCCCUAUCUGCCGUGGGCGCUGGAGAACUGAGGGGGGCUGCUCCUAGUACGAGAGGACCGGAGUGGACGCAUCACUGGUGUUCGGGUUGUCAUGCCAAUGGCACUGCCCGGUAGCUAAAUGCGGAAGAGAUAAGUGCUGAAAGCAUCUAAGCACGAAACUUGCCCCGAGAUGAGUUCUCCCUGACUCCUUGAGAGUCCUGAAGGAACGUUGAAGACGACGACGUUGAUAGGCCGGGUGUGUAAGCGCAGCGAUGCGUUGAGCUAACCGGUACUAAUGAACCGUGAGGCUUAACCUU
rnacentral:rRNA from 1 species